rnacentral:rRNA from 1 species
UACCAUGCAAGUCGAGCGAUGAAGCCCCUUCGGGAGUGGAUUAGCGGCGGACGGGUGAGUAACACGUGGGUAACCUGCCUCAAAGAGGGGGAUAGCCUCCCGAAAGGGAGAUUAAUACCGCAUAACAAGUAACUUCCGCAUGGAAGUAACUUUAAAGGAGAAAUCCGCUUUGAGAUGGACCCGCGGCGCAUUAGCUAGUUGGUAGGGUAACGGCCUACCAAGGCAACGAUGCGUAGCCGACCUGAGAGGGUGAUCGGCCACAUUGGAACUGAGAGACGGUCCAGACUCCUACGGGAGGCAGCAGUGGGGAAUAUUGCACAAUGGGCGGAAGCCUGAUGCAGCAACGCCGCGUGAGUGAAGAAGGUUUUCGGAUUGUAAAGCUCUGUCUUUGGGGACGAUAAUGACGGUACCCAAGGAGGAAGCCACGGCUAACUACGUGCCAGCAGCCGCGGUAAUACGUAGGUGGCAAGCGUUGUCCGGAAUUACUGGGCGUAAAGAGUGCGUAGGCGGAUAUUUAAGUGAGAUGUGGAAUACCCGGGCUUAACCCGGGCACUGCAUUUCAAACUGGAUAUCUAGAGUGCAGGAGAGGAGAACGGAAUUCCUAGUGUAGCGGUGAAAUGCGUAGAUAUUAGGAAGAACACCAGUGGCGAAGGCGGUUCUCUGGACUGUAACUGACGCUGAGGCACGAAAGCGUGGGUAGCAAACAGGAUUAGAUACCCUGGUAGUCCACGCCGUAAAC